UACGGGGUAGGGGCAGCUGUUCGUCGAUUUAUUGGGCGUAAAGCGCGUGUAGGCGGCCAGGUAGGUCCGCUGUGAAAACCCGAGGCUCAACCUCGGGACGUCGGCGGAAACCAUCUGGCUAGAGUCCGGAAGAGGAGAGUGGAGUUCCCGGUGUAGCGGUGAAAUGCGCAGAUAUCGGGGAAGAACACCCGUGGCGAAGGCGGCUCUCUGGGACGGUACUGACGCUGAGACGCGAAAGCGUGGGGAGCGAACAGG
rnacentral:rRNA from 1 species